rnacentral:sRNA from 1 species
ACCUGUACCGGGGCGAGAGCAGGGCGUCCCGGUAGCAGAAAGACAUACACCGUGCCACGGAAUGAGUGCGCACAUAUGGGCGUU